rnacentral:rRNA from 1 species
CGGUUGAUCCUGCCGGACCAACUGCUAUCGGGAUGGGACUAAGCCAUGCGAGUUGCGCGCCUCAUAGCCACGGUUGAGGCGCAGCGAACAGCUCAGUAUCAUGUGGCUAACUUACCCUAAGGACGUGAAUAACCCCGGGAAACUGGGGAUAAUUCGCGAUAGGUGAAGAGGCCUGGAAUGGUUCUUCGUCGAAAGGGGAUUAGGGGCAUGCUUCCUGAUUUCGCUUUAGGAUAGGGCCGCACCCGAUCAGGUCGUUGGUGAGGUAAUGGCCCACCAAGGCUAUAACAGGUACGGGCUCUGAGAGGAGGGGCCCGGAGAUGGGUACUGAGACACGGACCCAGGCCCUAUGGGGCGCAGCAGGCGAGAAACCUUUGCAAUGUGCGAAAGCACGACAAGGUUACUCCGAGUGUCUCCUGCUCACGGAGUCUUCUGUCAGUUGUCGAAUCCCUGCUGACUCACGGGUGGGCAAGUUCUGGUGUCAGCCG